CAAAUAAGGGAAGUGACCAAACUUGAUGGCAGCAGCUCCCUACUUUGUUCCAACACAGUUUUCAUGAGCAUUUCAUAGAGAUGUUUUGAUAAAAGAAAAAACUUGCUUUCUGUACAUUUACUGUAAACACUAACAUUACAGGUUGGCAAAAUAUCCUUUCACGUGGUGUAUGAAGUAAAGACGAUUUGUUAUGCAAAAACUAUGUAAUGUCACAGUAAGGUUAAAAGCACACUGCAGGUACACUUGGAGUCAAGGCCAAAGGAUAUUGAAGCCAUGGCCUCGGAGCAGCAGGCAGGAGAGGGUAUCAAUGUUGGUGGGGAGAUCAAAGAUGUCCCUCAACAGCUAGCCCAUCCUCCUGCCGUGAGACCAAGCCAACAAGGAGAUCUCCUGCAAGGCUGGUACUCAAAUAUAGAUGAGAUUUUAUUGUUUG